rnacentral:rRNA from 14 species
CGGUCCAAACUCCUACGGGAGGCAGCAGUGGGGAAUAUUGCACAAUGGGCGCAAGCCUGAUGCAGCGACGCCGCGUGAGGGAUGACGGCCUUCGGGUUGUAAACCUCUUUCAGUAGGGAAGAAGCGAAAGUGACGGUACCUGCAGAAAAAGCGCCGGCUAACUACGUGCCAGCAGCCGCGGUAAUACGUAGGGCGCAAGCGUUGUCCGGAAUUAUUGGGCGUAAAGAGCUCGUAGGCGGUCUGUCGCGUCUGCUGUGAAAUCCCGAGGCUCAACCUCGGGCUUGCAGUGGGUACGGGCAGACUAGAGUGCGGUAGGGGAGAAUGGAAUUCCUGGUGUAGCGGUGGAAUGCGCAGAUAUCAGGAA